rnacentral:rRNA from 1 species
UGGGGAAUAUUGCACAAUGGGGGAAACCCUGAUGCAGCGACGCCGCGUGAAGGAAGAAGUAUCUCGGUAUGUAAACUUCUAUCAGCAGGGAAGAAAAUGACGGUACCUGACUAAGAAGCCCCGGCUAACUACGUGCCAGCAGCCGCGGUAAUA